AGCUUUCCCUUCUUUGUUCUUCUCUUUUAAUUUUUAACCAUCGCCAAAAUACUUUUCUUUAACAAUAAUAAUUUAGUUUGAUGUUCAAAUAUUUUCUUAGGUUUUUUAUUUCAUUUGAAAAAAUAAAUAAACAUUGGAACUUCAUUAUAUAUUUACAAGAAACUGCGAAUGAGUGAUCCUCACGACCCUUUCGAUUUGCCAACAU